rnacentral:rRNA from 1 species
AUUGAACGCUGGCGGCCAGCCUAACACAUGCAAGUCGAACGAGUGGCGGACGGGUGAGUAAUGUCUGGGAAACUGCCUGAUGGAGGGGGAUAACUACUUGAAACGGUAGCUAAUAACGCAUACCAUCGGAUGUGCCCAGAUGGGAUUAGCUAGUAGGGGGGGUAAAGGCUCACCUAGGCGACGAUCCCUAGCUGGUCUGAGAGGAUGACCAGCCACACUGGAACUGAGACACGGUCCAGAAGCCGACGGGAGGCAGCAGUGGGGAAUAUUGCACAAGGGUCGCAAGCCUGAUGCAGCCAUGCCGCGUGUAUGAAGAAGGCCUUCGGGUGGUAAAGUACUUUCAGCGGGGAGGCGUUACCCGCAGAAGAAGCACCGGCUAACUCCGUGCCAGCAGCCGCGGUAAUUC